rnacentral:snRNA from 1 species
AUACUUACCUGGCAGGGGAGAUACCAUGAUCGCAAAGAUGAUUUUCCCAGAGAAAGGCUUAUCCAUUGCACUCUGGAUGUGCUGACCCCUGUGAUUUCCCCAAAUGCGGGAAACUCGACUGCAUAAUUUGUGGUAGUGAAAGUCUGCAUUCAUGCUCUCC